UACGUAGGGUGCGAGCGUUGUCCGGAAUUACUGGGCGUAAAGAGCUCGUAGGUGGUUUGUCGCGUUGUUCGUGAAAACUCACAACUCAAUUGUGGGCGUGCGGGCGAUACGGGCAGACUGGAGUACUGCAGGGGAGACUGGAAUUCCUGGUGUAGCGGUGGAAUGCGCAGAUAUCAGGAGGAACACCGGUGGCGAAGGCGGGUCUCUGGGCAGUAACUGACGCUUAGGAGCGAAAGCGUGGGGAGCGAACAGG
rnacentral:rRNA from 1 species